rnacentral:lncRNA from 1 species
CAAAAGCUAUGAAGCCUAGCUUUCCUAGAUUAUGAGAAGUUCUUCUCACCAGCUACUUCUUAGAAUCUUAAGAUGCCCCAAACAUGGCCCUAGAAAAAAGUACAGAGCUUUGUUAUGCUUCUUACUUUCUACCUAUCAUAUAUUGAGUUUUGUUACUAGUGUUCAGUCUCUUGAACUCUUCACAAGAAUGUGACUAUCUAACAGGCUAGGAAAUUUGACACCUGCAUUGCACCCCUCCCAUGUGUGAUAGCCUAUAGAAAAGUAAAUGAACCUAAAAAUAAAGCUAUGGUCACACUGGCUCUUGUUCUACUUUAUGGCAAUCUCAUACCACCAGCUAUUAAUUUGGCUUCUAGCAUUUGUUAGUAAUUUUAAUGGCUUGGCCCCAAGCUAACAACAAAAGUUGAUUGCCAUAUUCAAGAAUAAAGACCUCAGGUAUUGUUCUCCUGCUAGUCAUGAUCUUUUGCGAGUUUCGAUGAGCCAGAGCACUACGACACUUGAUAUAGAAGUUAUUACAAUGCUAAGACGACACUAGAAGUACCAAUGGGUAGAAUAAAAUGCGCUUGAUUGUCACAUAUGACAGCUUGCGUCCAACACAGUAUUGUUCCUGAUAUCCUUUCAUUUGUCCCAAAUAUAAAGUGUGGUAUAGAUCACCUCGUGAGGAACACUAGAAUACUGUUGCAUAUGCUAUCUCUGAAGAUAUGGCAAAUUUACUGAUGAUUCUCAGUACUAGCUGCUAAAAUGACCCAAUUAUAAUACUGCUAUAUAUCUUCCUGCUGCUAGGAAUUCCACAUGGUUCAAAUUUCCAUAGAAAAUUGUCACCGCAUGCUUUUGUGAAAGUGAGGAGACUUUCCUUUGGCAAGAACAUGAGGAUCAUUAGUGACAUAUAUAAUAGCCCCUCUGUAUUUAUAUGGUGUACGAGUCCAUUUCUAUGACUUUUG